rnacentral:rRNA from 1 species
UACGGAGGAUCCGAGCGUUAUCCGGAUUUAUUGGGUUUAAAGGGUCCGCAGGCGGGAGAUUAAGUCGGCGGUGAAAUUUUGCAGCUCAACUGUAAAAGUGCCAUUGAUACUGGUUUUCUUGAGUGUGGAUGAAGUAGGCGGAAUUUGUGGUGUAGCGGUGAAAUGCAUAGAUAUCACGAGGAACUCCGAUUGCGCAGGCAGCUUACUAAACCAUAACUGACGCUCAGGCACGAAGGCGUGGGGAUCAAACAGGAUUAGAUACCCCGGUAGU